UCCAGCAGUCCAAAAUAUUAGUCAAUGCUCGAAAGAGUGAACUAGCUAACUGAAAUCAAUAAAAAUAAAUUGAUAACAUAAGGGAAAAUAAUGAUAUUACCUUAUUAUUAGUGUCGUCCAAAUCUGGUGCCAGAAGACUCGGUAAGGCCAGAGACACAAACGUUAAUCGUCUUAAUCAGGCGUAAAGGGUUUGUAGGCGGCUUUAAAUUUGACUUAAAAACAAAAACAAAAACAAAAACAAAUAAUAAAAAUUAAAAAACAAAAAAUAAAAUAAUAAAAAGUAAAGAAUAAAAGCUAGAAUCAAAUAGAGGAUAUAUUAAAGAAUGCUUAGAGUAGGUCUGAUAUCCUUAGAUACUAAGUAGAAUAUUAAAGGCGAAAGCUUUUUUCCAUUAAUGAUUGACGCUCAGAAACGAAGGUGAGGAUAGGAAAUAGGAUUAGAUACCCAGAAUACCCCUCUCUGUCAACGAUGAAUGGUAGUUAUUAGUACGAAUUAUUAAUGGCAAUGUUAACACGAUAACCAUUCCGCCUUGUGAGUACAAUUGCAAAGUUGAAAACAAAAAAAUUAGUCGGUUUCGGAGCAAACGAAGUGAAGCAUGUUAUUUAAUUC
rnacentral:rRNA from 1 species